UCCAGACUCCUACGGGAGGCAGCAGUGAGGAAUAUUGGUCAAUGGGCGGAAGCCUGAACCAGCCAAGUCGCGUGAGGGAAUAAGGCCCUACGGGUCGUAAACCUCUUUUGCCGGGGAGCAAGGGCGGGGACGUGUCCCGGCCCGGAGAGUACCCGGAGAAAAAGCAUCGGCUAACUCCGUGCCAGCAGCCGCGGUAAUACGUAGGGAGCGAGCGUUGUCCGGAUUUACUGGGUGUAAAGGGUGCGUAGGCGGCUGUGCAAGUCAGUAGUGAAAUCCAUGGGCUUAACCCAUGAACUGCUAUUGAAACUGCACAGCUUGAGUGAAGUAGAGGUAGGCGGAAUUCCAGGUGUAGCGGUGAAAUGCGUAGAGAUCGGGAGGAACACCAGUGGCGAAGGCGGCCUACUGGGCUUUAACUGACGCUGAGGCACGAAAGCGUGGGUAGCAAACAGGAUUAGAUACCCCAGUA
rnacentral:rRNA from 1 species